GGUAGGAUGGCUGAAGUUAGGCGGCGGGUUGUAGCCCCGUGCAUAGAGGUUUAAAUCCUCUUCCUAUCA
rnacentral:tRNA from 1 species